CCUACGGGUGGCAGCAGUGGGGAAUAUUGGGCAAUGGGCGCAAGCCUGACCCAGCAACGCCGCGUGAAGGAAGAAGGCUUUCGGGUUGUAAACUUCUUUUGUCAGGGACGAAGCAAGUGACGGUACCUGACGAAUAAGCCACGGCUAACUACGUGCCAGCAGCCGCGGUAAUACGUAGGUGGCAAUCGUUAUCCGGAUUUAUUGGGUGUAAAGGGCGUGUAGGCGGGAAUGCAAGUCAGAUGUGAAAACUAUGGGCACAACCCAUAGCCUGCAUUUGAAACUGUAUGUCUUGAGUGCUGGAGAGGCAAUCGGAAUUCGGGGUGUAGCGGUGAAAUGCGUAGAUAUCUGGAGGAACAUCAGUGGCGAAGGCGACUAUCUGGCACAUAACUGACGCUGAGGAGCGAAAGCGUGGGUAGCAAACAGGAUUAGAUACCCCAGUAGUC
rnacentral:rRNA from 1 species